rfam:Dipodomys ordii contig_81187, whole genome shotgun sequence.
GGUGGCUCAGUGGUAGAGCACUUGCCUUGCAUGCAUGAGGCCUUGGGUUCGAUUCCUCAGCACCA